UACGUAGGGUGCAAGCGUUGUCCGGAAUUAUUGGGCGUAAAGAGCUCGUAGGCGGUCUGUCACGUCGGCUGUGAAAACCUGGGGCUCAACUCCGGGCCUGCAGCCGAUACGGGCAGACUAGAGUUCGGCAGGGGAGACUGGAAUUCCUGGUGUAGCGGUGAGAUGCGCAGAUAUCAGGAGGAACACCGGUGGCGAAGGCGGGUCUCUGGGCCGAAACUGACGCUGAGGAGCGAAAGCGUGGGGAGCAAACAGG
rnacentral:rRNA from 1 species